GCCAGUGUGGUACAGUGGUUUGAACACUGGACUAUAGCUUAGCAGAUCAGGGUUCAAAUACCUGCUCAGCCA